rnacentral:rRNA from 1 species
UACAGAGGUCUCAAGCGUUGUUCGGAUUCAUUGGGCGUAAAGGGUGCGUAGGUGGCGCUGUAAGUCGGGUGUGAAAUUUCGGAGCUUAACUCCGAAACUGCAUUCGAUACUGCGGUGCUUGAGGACUGGAGAGGAGACUGGAAUUCAUGGUGUAGCAGUGAAAUGCGUAGAGAUCAGGAGGAACACCGGUGGCGAAGGCGGGUCUCUGGGCCGAUACUGACGCUGAGGAGCGAAAGCGUGGGGAGCGAACAGG